AGAACGAACGCUGGCGGCAGGCCUCAAACAUGCAAGUCUAGGGGGUGUAGCAAUACAUCACCGGCGGACGGGUGCGUAACACGUGGGAAUAUACCUUUUGGUUCGGAACAACGCAGGGAAACUUGCGCUAAUACCGAAUGUGCCCUUACGGGGAAAGAUUUAUCGCCAAAAGAUUAGCCCGCGUAGGAUUAGCUAGUUGGUGAGGUAAUGGCUCACCAAGGCUCCGAUCCUUAGCUGUUCUGAGAGGAAGAUCAGCCACACUGGGACUGAGACACGGCCCAGACUCCUACGGGAGGCAGCAGUUGGGAAUCUUGGACAAUGGGGGAAACCCUGAUCCAGCCAUGCCGCGUGAGUGAUGAAGGCCUUCGGGUUGUAAAACUCUUUCGACGGGGACGAUAAUGACGGUACCCGUAGAAGAAGCUCCGGCUAACUUCGUGCCAGCAGCCGC
rnacentral:rRNA from 1 species